CUGAUGUUAGCGGCGGACGGGUGAGUAACACGUGGAUAACCUACCUAUAAGACUGGGAUAACUUCGGGAAACCGGAGCUAAUACCGGAUAAUAUUUUGAACCGCAUGGUUCAAAAGUGAAAGACGGUCUUGCUGUCACUUAUAGAUGGAUCCGCGCUGCAUUAGCUAGUUGGUAAGGUAACGGCUUACCAAGGCAACGAUGCAUAGCCCACCUGAGAGGGUGAUCGGCCACACUGGAACUGAGACACGGUCCAGACUCCUACGGGAGGCAGCAGUAGGGAAUCUUCCGCAAUGGGCGAAAGCCUGACGGAGCAACGCCGCGUGAGUGAUGAAGGUCUUCGGAUCGUAAAACUCUGUUAUUAGGGAAGAACAUAUGUGUAAGUAACUGUGCACAUCUUGACGGUACCUAAUCAGAAAGCCACGGCUAACUACGUGCCAGCAGCCGCGGUAAUACGUAGGUGGCAAGCGUUAUCCGGAAUUAUUGGGCGUAAAGCGCGCGUAGGCGGUUUUUUAAGUCUGAUGUGAAAGCCCACGGCUCAACCGUGGAGGGUCAUUGGAAACUGGAAAACUUGAGUGCAGAAGAGGAAAGUGGAAUUCCAUGUGUAGCGGUGAAAUGCGCAGAGAUAUGGAGGAACACCAGUGGCGAAGGCGACUUUCUGGUCUGUAACUGACGCUAAUGUGCGAAAGCGUGGGGAUCAAACAGGAUUAGAUACCCUGGUAGUCCACGCCGUAAACGAUGAGUGCUAAGUGUUAGGGGGUUUCCGCCCCUUAGUGCUGCAGCUAACGCAUUAAGCACUCCGCCUGGGGAGUACGACCGCAAGGUUGAAACUCAAAGGAAUUGACGGGGACCCGCACAAGCGGUGGAGCAUGUGGUUUAAUUCGAAGCAACGCGAAGAACCUUACCAAAUCUUGACAUCCUUUGACAACUCUAGAGAUAGAGCCUUCCCCUUCGGGGGACAAAGUGACAGGUGGUGCAUGGUUGUCGUCAGCUCGUGUCGUGAGAUGUUGGGUUAAGUCCCGCAACGAGCGCAACCCUUAAGCUUAGUUGCCA
rnacentral:rRNA from 1 species